CCAUUCAUUUAAAGAGUGCGUAACAGCUCACUAGUCAAGAGAUCUUGCGUGGAAAAUGUAACGGGGCUCAAGUGUAAUACCGAAGACAUGGAUUAUGUACUAGAAAUAAAGUUUAUAAUAAUAUAUACUGCAUUCAAUAUGGAAAUAAAUGGAAAAGAAGCAUAUUUUAUUGCGAUAAAAGCAUUAAUCAGAAAAGGUGAUGAAAUUUUAAUUACUCACGACAUUUGGAAUCAGUGGGAUUUACCUGGCGGGAGGAUUAAGAAAGAUGAAUUUAGAAAAGAGUUUCAAGAUGUAUUACGUCGUAAGAUAUCAGAGGAAUUGGGUGAUAAAGUAAAAUAUGAAAUUUCUAAAUAUCCGAAAGCUUUUUUCCGCGUACAGAGAACAGAGUUUUUAGAACAAGGCGGAACAAUAAAUGUUAGGAUUUUUGGAAUUGGAUAUGAGGUGGAAUAUUUAGGUGGAGACAUUAUUCUUGGACCUCACCAUGAUAAAAUAGAAUGGGUUAACAUAAACAAGUUUGAUCCAUACUUGUAUUUUAAGGGGGGUUGGGAAGAAGGUCUUUUUGAAUACAUUAAGGUUUGCAAAGAAUUAUAGAUUUUAUUUCUAGUACAUAGUGGUAGAGGAGCGUUGAUAUUGCGGUGAAGUCAGAUUGGAAAGUCUGGUGGAGCGGUAUCAAGUGAGAAUGCUGGAAUCAGUAACCAUAAGACAGGUGAGAAUCCUGUCGGUCGUAAGAGCAAGGUUUCCAGGGCUACAGUAAUUGUCCCUGGGUUAGUCGGUCCUAAGCCGAGGCGUAUCAGCGUAGGCGAUGGACAUCAGGUUAAUAUUCCUGAACAGGUAGUAGUUGUUAACAGUUCACGGAGAACAUCUCAGAGCGGAUUAUUGGUAUAUAUCCGUCCAACAAUCUUGGGAACAAGAAAGGAGUGAAAGUUACCCCUCGGGGUGACGAUUCUGGGGCAGGCUCUGGCUAGAAAAGCUGGUUAACUUAGGCUGCUGCCUACCGUACCGCAAACCAACACAGGUGCUCGAGUCGAGUAGACUAAGACUUACGAGAGAACCUUCGCUAAGGAACUCGGCAAAACAGCGUCCGUAACUUCGGAAUAAGGACUGCCCUCUCAUUAAGAUGAGGAUUUGCUAAAGUUACUCAGCGAGAGAUUCGGUUACUAGAACAAGACCGUUUUGUGUAUAUUUGUUUACACAAAUUUUCUGAAAGGGUGGUGUAUAUCCAUGAAGCUCAGUUUGGAUGAUAGGCGCUACUUAAAACAUCUUAAAAACGACGAGUUUGAGUUUGUUUUAGACUUUUACAAGGAUAGUAAUAAACUUGAGUGGAUUCAAGUGGUUUUAGGUGAAUGUAGCAAAAACAUUGAGUCAUUAGUCAGCGAAAAGAGGGGUGGGAAUCUAGAGCUGCUUGACCUUUGGUCCAGGUUGGAUAAUUUAAGGAGGAAAUGGCAAACACCAGGAGGCCGUUCCGUGAUUGAAGAGUUUUCGGAUUCUUGGACCAACGGUAUCAGCAACAUUCUAGACAGGGCUUAUCCUGCCUGGAGGACAACUGAUUAGUUGGCCCCUUUAGGACAGCUUUCAGAGGAUAAUCUCUACGGGUGAGUUUUUCUCUCACCCACUUCCAAAAUAUAUACAAAACGGUCUUGUUUAAUGUAUCUUUAAAAAUCGAAUUUCUUUGUUGAGACAGAACACUAAUUUGUUCUUUAACUUAGCAGCUUAAUCGUCAUUUUGAUGAGAGGGCCGCAGCUAAAGAGCCCACGGAACUGUUUAUCAAAAACACAGGUCUCUGCUAACGCGAAAGCGGAUGUAUAGGGGCUGACUCCUGCCCAGUGUCGGAAGGUUAAGGGGAGCGCUUUACGGUGCAAACUGAAGCCCCGAUGAACGGCGGCGAUAACUAUGAUCGUCCUAAGGUAGCGAAAUUCCUUGUCUGGUAAGUUCAGACCCGCACGAAUGGAGUAAUCAUGUGGGCACUGUCUCGGCGAAGGCCUCGGUGAACGUGCAUUGGCGGUAAAGAUGCCGUCUGAUCAUGCCAGGACGAGAAGACCCCAUGGAGCUUUACUACAACUUUGCAUUGAUUGUUGGGAUAUUUUGUGUAGCAUAGGUGGGAGACUUUGAAGCAGAUACGCUAGUAUUUGUGGAGUCACCGGUGAAAUACCACCCUGAAUGUUUUAGCAAUCUCACUCUUGACUUUAUCAGCCAAGAGGACCGUGCAUGGCGGGUAGUUUAACUGGGGCGGUUGCCUCCUAAAGAGUAGCGGAGGCGUUCAAAGGUUGGCUAACUACGGAUGGAAAUCGUAGUGAUAGUGUAUGCGCAAAAGCCAGCUUGACUGUGAGGACUACAAUCCAAUCAGACACGAAAGUGGGAGCAAAUGACCCGCUGUACAGAUCUUCGGAUCAAUUUACGUGGGAAAGACAGCGCACACGGAUAAAAGUUACCCUGGGGAUAACAGGCUGAUCGCGCCCAAUAGUUCACAUAGACGGCGCGGUUUGGCACCUCGAUGUCGGCUCAUCACAUCCUGGAGGGGGAGCACCUUCCAAGGGUUCGGCUGUUCGCCGAUUAAAGUGGUACGCGAGCUGGGUUCAGAACGUCGUGAGACAGUUCGGUUUAUAUCCGGCAUGAUCGUUAGGAAUUUUGAGGAGAUCUGCCCCUAGUACGAGAGGACCGGGGUGGACGAACCUCUAGUGUAUCGGUUGUGGCCACCUGCUGCAUCGCCGAGUAGCUAUGUUCGGAAGAGAUAAGCGCUGAAAGCAUAUUAAGCGCGAAGCCCACUCCAAGAUUAGAAUUCCCUAUGAGAUCCCAGAGAGAAGAUCUGGUUAAUAGGCGCAAGAUGGAAGUACCGUAAGGUAUGGAGUCGAAGCGUACUAAUAGAUCCAUCGCCUUUUUAUG
rnacentral:rRNA from 1 species